GUUAACAUCAGCCGCUAAGCUGCUGAACACAAUAGUGAUAAGCAAACAAUGGAACUAUUAAUCUGUCGGACUUUCUAAAAGACACAGAAAAUUUAUAUGUUAAUCUAGAAAAAGCAAUGGAACUAUGUUUUUGGCCAUAAAUGAUGUUUAAUGUUGUCCUAAAUUAAUAUACUAGUCUAGUGUUGAGGGAAAUGAUCAAAGAGACAGCUCA
rnacentral:misc_RNA from 1 species